CGUAUGCAACCUACUACUGACCGGGGAAUAGCUCAGAGAAAUCUGAAUUAAUACCGCAUAAUAUUUUUGGGAGACAUCUCCCGAUUAUCAAAACUCCGGUGGUUAUAGAUGGGCAUGCGUGACAUUAGCUAGUUGGUGAGGUAACGGCUCACCAAGGCUACGAUGUCUAGGGGGUCUGAGAGGAUGAUCCCCCACACUGGUACUGAGACACGGACCAG
rnacentral:rRNA from 1 species